rnacentral:rRNA from 1 species
AUUGAACGCUGGCGGCAUGCCUUACACAUGCAAGUCGAACGGUAACAGGUCUUCGGAUGCUGACGAGUGGCGAACGGGUGAGUAAUACAUCGGAACGUGCCCGAUCGUGGGGGAUAACGAAGCGAAAGCUUUGCUAAUACCGCAUACGAUCUACGGAUGAAAGCAGGGGACCGCAAGGCCUUGCGCGAACGGAGCGGCCGAUGGCAGAUUAGGUAGUUGGUGGGGUAAAGGCUCACCAAGCCAACGAUCUGUAGCUGGUCUGAGAGGACGACCAGCCACACUGGGACUGAGACACGGCCCAGACUCCUACGGGAGGCAGCAGUGGGGAAUUUUGGACAAUGGGCGCAAGCCUGAUCCAGCAAUGCCGCGUGCAGGAAGAAGGCCUUCGGGUUGUAAACUGCUUUUGUACGGAGCGAAAAGGCUCCCUCUAAUACAGGGGGCUCAUGACGGUACCGUAAGAAUAAGCACCGGCUAACUACGUGCCAGCCGCCGCCGUAAUAC